GCUUCAAACGGCGGAAAAAAAAAAGGAAAAGAGAGAAGAAGAAACAGAGCAAAAUAAGAACAAAACAUUCAGGACCAUUAACGGCGGCGGGCAAAGUUAUCGGCGUGAGCUUUCACAGAUUUUGGUGCUGGAUCUCGUAAGUAGAACGUGGGUUGCUUGCCUUCAGUCCAUAGGAGACCCGAGGUAGAUUUGUCGGCAUUCGCAAACUCCAGAGUCUCAUUCCUUAUGUUUUAGAUAUACUGUCUCUUUUCAUUUCGAGAACAAUUGUAUUUUCUUUCUAAACUAGUAUUUGUAGAAAUUCGUAGAUGUUCGUGAAUUUGUGACACCAGAUUAUUGGGUAGAUAUGUAUUGGAGUAUUUGAACCGUUA